AGGACGAACGCUUGCGACGUGCCUAAGAAAUGCAAGUCGAACGAGGCAGCAAUGCCGAGUGGCGAACGGUCGCGUAACACGUGGGCAACCUGCCCUGAAGCGGGGGACAACAACUUGAAAGAGUUGCUAAUACCGCAUGUGAAUCGUGGUGGCAUCACCGAGGAUUCAAAGCCGCAAGGCACUUCAGGAUGGGCCCGCGGCCUAUCAGCUAGUUGGUGAGGUAACGGCCCACCAAGGCUUCGACGGGUAGCUGGUCUGAGAGGACGAUCAGCCGGAUUGGGACUGAGAUACGGCCCAGACUCCUACGGGGGGCAGCAAUUAGGAAUCUUGCGCAAUGGGCGAAAGCCUGACGCAGCGACGUCGCGUGAAGGAUGAAGUAUCUUGGUACGUAAACUCCUUUCGAUGGGGAAGAUAAUGACGGUACCCAUAGAAGAAGCCCCGGCUAACUUCGUGCCAGCAGCCGC
rnacentral:rRNA from 1 species